AGAGUUUGAUCCUGGCUCAGAUUGAACGCUGGCGGCAUGCCUAACACAUGCAAGUCGAACGGCAGCAUGAGGUGUAGCAAUACACCUUGAUGGCGAGUGGCGGACGGGUGAGGAAUGCAUCGGAACCUGCCCAAUCGUGGGGGACAACGCAGGGAAACUUGCGCUAAUACCGCAUACGACCUUCGGGUGAAAGCAGGGGAUCUUCGGACCUUGCGCGAUUGGAUGAGCCGAUGCCGGAUUAGCUAGUUGGCGGGGUAAAAGCCCACCAAGGCGACGAUCCGUAGCUGGUCUGAGAGGAUGAUCAGCCACACUGGGACUGAGACACGGCCCAGACUCCUACGGGAGGCAGCAGUGGGGAAUAUUGGACAAUGGGGGCAACCCUGAUCCAGCAAUGCCGCGUGUGUGAAGAAGGCCUUCGGGUUGUAAAGCACUUUUAUCGGGAACGAAACAUUGUCGGUUAAUACCCGGCAAGACUGACGGUACCCGAGGAAUAAGCACCGGCUAACUCCGUGCCAGCCGCCGCGGUAAUAC
rnacentral:rRNA from 1 species